AUAUUGGCCAGAGACCGAUAGCGCACAAGUAGAGUGAUCGAAAGAUGAAAAGCACUUUGGAAAGAGAGUUAAACAGUACGUGAAAUUGUUGAAAGGGAAGCGCUGGCAACCAGACUUGGGCGCUGUUGAUCCGUCAGGGUUCUCCCUGGGGCACUCGGCAGCGCGCAGGCCAGCAUCGGUUUGGGGGGUUGGAGAAAGACUGGUGGAAUGUGGCUGCCCUCGGGCAGUGUUAUAGCCACCGGUGGCAUGCAGCCUCCCCGGACCGAGGACCGCGCUUCGGCUAGGAUGCUGGCGUAAUGGUUGUCAGCGACCCGUCUUGAAACACGGACC
rnacentral:rRNA from 1 species